rnacentral:rRNA from 1 species
AGAGUUUGAUCCUGGCUCAGAGCGAACGUUAGCGGCGCGCCUAACACAUGCAAGUCGCACGAGAAAGGGCUUCGGCCCCGGUACAGUGGCGCACGGGUGAGCAACACGUGGGCGACCUUCCCCGGAGUGGUGGAUAACCUGCCGAAAGGCGGGCUAAUACAGCAUACGACGGCGGGACUCCGGUCCCGCCGUGAAAGCGGGCCAAUGUACACACGCUCGCGCUCCGGGUUGGGCCCGCGUCCCAUCAGCUAGUUGGUGCGGUAACGGCGCACCAAGGCGACGACGGGUAGCUGGUCUGAGAGGAUGGCCAGCCACACUGGAACUGAGACACGGUCCAGACUCCUACGGGAGGCAGCAGUGGGGAAUCUUGCGCAAUGGUCGAAAGACUGACGCAGCGACGCCGCGUGGGCGACGAAGGCCUUCGGGUUGUAAAGCCCUGUGGGGCGGGACGAACAAGCGCCGGGUGAACAAUCCGGGGCCCUGACGGUACCGCCUUAGCAAGCACCGGCUAACUCUGUGCCAGCAGCCGCGGUAAGACAGAGGGUGCGAACGUUGCUCGGAAUUACUGGGCGUAAAGCGCGUGCAGGUGGCCCGGCACGUCCGGUGUGAAAGCCCGGGGCUCAACCCCGGAAGCGCGCUGGAAACGACCGGGCUGGAGGGCUGGAGAGGCGGGCGGAAUUCCCGGUGUAGAGGUGAAAUUCGUAGAUAUCGGGAGGAACACCGGUGGCGAAGGCGGCCCGCUGGACAGCGCCUGACACUGAGACGCGAAAGCGUGGGUAGCAAACAGGAUUAGAUACCCCCGUAGUCC